CCGGCCCCAACUUGCCCAAAUCCAGCUGGAGCCACCGGCGCGACCAGAGGGCAUCACCGGAAACCCCUCCGGGGCGGGCGGCGGGGCGCGGGGAGACCAGGGCGGGCCACCCUUCCCCGCCCCGCCCCGCGCCCCGCCCACGGGACCCGGACCGCGCCCUCAACCCCAGGCCCCGCGGCCACCCUGGACAGCUCCUGACUGACCGACCUGAGAGACACAGAGACAGAGACAGAGACAGAGAGAUUGAGAGGAUCCGAGACACGGACCCAGACAGACACCCACCGGGACAGACACACAGACGCUCACGCUGACGCAGAGAGGCCCUGCCCAAGAGGCAGCUUCCCCACAGGAGGGCGGUGGUGCUUGAGCUGGGCCCGGGCAAGGAGGCGGGGGCCCUGGGGCUGGCGAUCACCCCUGGGGCCCUGGGACGUGCAGACAGGGUCUCAGGAGUGCAGCGCUCCUGGGAUCCCUGUCCCGCGACCCGGACGCCCAGGAGCCACGGACUGGCAGCCGGGCUCGGGCUCGCUCUCGCUCUCGCUCUCGCUCUCGCUCUCGCUCUCGCUCUGUGUGUGUGCGUUUUUGUGUGCGCCUGCGUGUCUGUGUCUGUUUGUGUGUUUCUUUCCUUCUCUCUUCGCCUCUUCGUUCUGGCUCUUUUCCUCUUUCUGCGGGGCGCCCCCGGACUUCCUGAGUUGACAGAACGACCAGCCAGAAAAGUCAGGACACGGAGAACUUCGCCCGAGAAACCAACGCAAUCUACCAGACGUACAGAACCCCCUCCCCGACGACCACAGCGUCCACAGUCUGCUCGAGUGCAGGAUUCAGGAAAUAGUUUACGAUUCAAGUGCAUCCUAAAGUUGGAGCAACCCUGGCUAGAAUAUCAUAGAUCCUUGAGUUGGCAGAGACCUUUCACUCUUCAGUAUAUUUAUAUUCAACGCAAAGAUCCUUCCUUCUAUAUCAUCCUUGACAACAGACCACCUAGAUUCUGUGUAAAUAAUUCCGAUGACAAGAAACGCAUUAAAUAAAGAGACCCCUUUGUUUUUAGAGUUUUAAAUGUUU
rnacentral:lncRNA from 1 species